AUCGCUUGUAGAGACUUUUGGCUAAGAUCAAGUGUAGUAUCUGUUUUAUCAGUUUAAUAUCUGAUACGUCCCCCAUAGGGGACCAUCUAAUUAAAUGAUUUUUGGAAUGAAAGACUGAGAAAGGGGCUUGCUCCGUCCACUCCACGCAUCGACCCGGUAUUGCAGUGAGAGGGAACGGAUGCACACCUU